rnacentral:rRNA from 1 species
UACGGAGGGUGCAACCGUUGCUCGGAAUCAUUGGGCGUAAAGCGCACGUAGGCGGCCUGUUAAGUCGGGUGUGAAAUCCCUCGGCUCAACCGAGGAAGUGCAUUCGAAACUGGCGGGCUUGAAUGUGGAAGAGGGUCGUGGAAUUCCCGGUGUAGAGGUGAAAUUCGUAGAUAUCGGGAGGAACACCAGUGGCGAAGGCGGCGACCUGGGCCAACAUUGACGCUGAGGUGCGAAAGCGUGGGGAGCAAACAGG